AAUGAACGCUGGCGGCAGGCCUAAAACAUGCAAGUCGAACGGAUCCUUCGGGAGUAGUGGCGGACGGGUGAGUAACGCGUGGGAACAUACCCUUUGGUACGGAAUAGCCUCGGGAAACUGGGAGCAAUACCGUAUGUGGUCGAGAGACGAAAGAUUUAUCGCCAAAGGAUUUGCCCGCGUUGGAUUAGGUAGUUGGUGGGGUAAUGGCCGACCAAGCCGACGAUCCAUAGCUGGUUUGAGAGGAUGAUCAGCCACACUGGGCCUGAGACACGGCCCAGACUCCUACGGGAGGCAGCAGUGGGGAAUCUUAGACAAUGGGGGAAACCCUGAUCUAGCCAUGCCGCGUGAUCGAUGAAGGCCUUAGGGUUGUAAAGAUCUUUCAGAUGGGAAGAUAAUGACUGUACCACCAGAAGAAGCCCCGGCUAACUCCGUGCCAGCCGCCGCCGUAAGAC
rnacentral:rRNA from 1 species